UACUAAGCACUAUACAUUUUACAUGUAAAUAAUGUACAUGUUAAGAUUUUUCUUAUUAAACAACAAAAAGAACCAAACAAACACUCCAUUUAAACCUUUGCCUACAGAAAUUGAAAAUGCAACUGUUACUGCUCAGCUAAAGGAGAAAGAAAACAUACCCAAAAGCCAGGGCUAACAAAGCAUCUUGCUCCUUGAAAUGGAGCCACAAAUCCAUUCUUAUCUGGCAUUGGUGACCACCUGACAACGUAAUUUAUCUUUAUGUAUGUUUUAGAUAGCGAUGUAGCCAAGAAAAAUGGGGCUUUUACUCUAAUUAUAUGUGUCUGGCCCAUAUUUACUGUUGUCAUCUCAUAUGUAGUGUAGUGAGUAACGAAAAAGUAAUUGAACAAAUAAAAAAUUAAUUUUUAUAGCACUGGUAGACUUGCUAUACGCUACGAGUUGUGAUGAUGUUAUUAAAGGACUAAAUUCUGA